rnacentral:rRNA from 1 species
UACGGGGGGAGCAAGCGUUGUUCGGAUUUACUGGGCGUAAAGGGCGCGUAGGCGGUUAGCACAAGUCAGUUGUGAAAUCUCCGGGCUUAACUCGGAAAGGUCAACUGAUACUGUGCGGCUAGAGUGCGGAAGGGGCAACUGGAAUUCUCGGUGUAGCGGUGAAAUGCGUAGAUAUCGAGAGGAACACCGGCGGCGAAGGCGGGUUGCUGGGCCGACACUGACGCUGAUGCGCGAAAGCCAGGGGAGCGAACGGG